rnacentral:rRNA from 1 species
UACGGAGGGUGCGAGCGUUGCUCGGAAUUACUGGGCGUAAAGCGCGUGUAGGCGGCCUUUUAAGUUCGGUGUGAAAGCCCGGGGCUCACCCCCGGAAGUGCAUCGAAUACUGGGAGGCUAGAGUACCGGAGAGGAGGGUGGAAUUCCUGGUGUAGCGGUGAAAUGCGUAGAGAUCAGGAGGAACACCGGUGGCGAAGGCGGCCCUCUGGACGGAUACUGACGCUGAGACGCGAAAGAGUGGGGAGCAAACAGG